AAGUUAUGAUGACGAUGAUGAGGAAGAUGAUGAUGACGAUGAUGAUGAUUGUCACUCUCGUCAUCAUCAUCUUCCUCAUCAUCACCAUCA
rnacentral:pre_miRNA from 1 species